AGUUCGGACUGUAGUCUGCAACCCGACUACACGAAGCUGGAAUCGCUAGUAAUCGCGAAUCAGAAUGUCGCGGUGAAUACGUUCCCGGGUCUUGUACACACCGCCCGUCACACCAUGGGAGCCGGGAAUGCCCGAAGUCAGUGACCCAACCUAUAGGAGGGAGCUGCCGAAGGCAGGUCUGAUAACUGGGGUGAAGUCGUAACAAGGUAUC
rnacentral:rRNA from 1 species